AGUGAACGCUGGCGGUAGGCCUAACACAUGCAAGUCGAACGGCAGCACAGUAAGAGCUUGCUCUUACGGGUGGCGAGUGGCGGACGGGUGAGGCAUACAUCGGAAUCUACUUUUUCGUGGGGGAUAACGUAGGGACACUUCCGCUAAUACAGCAUACGUCCUACGGGUGAAAGCAGUGGAUCUUCGCGCCUUUCCCGUUUCAUUUAGCCGAUGUCGGAUUAGCUAGUUUGCGGGGUAAAGGCCCACCAAGGCGACGAUCCGUAGCUGGUCUGAGAGGAUGAUCAGCCACACUGGAACUGAGACACGGUCCAGACUCCUACGGGAGGCAGCAGUGGGGAAUAUUGGACAAUGGGCGCAAGCCUGAUCCAGCCAUACCGCGUGGGUGAAGAAGGCCUUCGGGUUGUAAAGCCCUUUUGUUGGGAAAGAAAAACAGCAGGUUAAUACCCCGCUGUUCUGACGGUACCCAAAGAAUAAGCACCGGCUAACUUCGUG
rnacentral:rRNA from 1 species